rnacentral:rRNA from 1 species
UACGUAGGGUGCGAGCGUUAAUCGGAAUUACUGGGCGUAAAGAGUGCGUAGGCGGCGUCGCAAGUCGGGCGUGAAAGCCCCGGGCUUAACUUGGGAAUUGCGCUCGAAACUACGAUGCUGGAGUGUGGCAGAGGAAGGUGGAAUUCCACGUGUAGCGGUGAAAUGCGUAGAGAUGUGGAGGAACACCAAUGGCGAAGGCAGCCUUCUGGGCCAACACUGACGCUCAUGCACGAAAGCGUGGGGAGCAAACAGG